GACGAACGCUGGCGGCGUGCUUAACACAUGCAAGUCGAACGGAAAGGCCCUGCUUUUGUGGGGUGCUCGAGUGGCGAACGGGUGAGUAACACGUGAGUAACCUGCCCUUGACUUUGGGAUAACUUCAGGAAACUGGGGCUAAUACCGGAUAGGAGCUCCUGCUGCAUGGUGGGGGUUGGAAAGUUUCGGCGGUUGGGGAUGGACUCGCGGCUUAUCAGCUUGUUGGUGGGGUAGUGGCUUACCAAGGCUUUGACGGGUAGCCGGCCUGAGAGGGUGACCGGCCACAUUGGGACUGGGAUACGGCCCAGACUCCUACGGGAGGCAGCAGUGGGGAAUAUUGAACAAUGGGCGGAAGCCUGAGGCAGCAACGCCGCGUGCGGGAUGACGGCCUUCGGGUUGUAAACCGCUUUCGCAUGUGACGAAGCGUGAGUGACGGUAAUGGGUAAAGAAGCACCGGCUAACUACGUG
rnacentral:rRNA from 1 species